AAAUCAACCAGACGUUCUGUCAUUCACCAGCAAUAUCUCUCCAUAGUAUUCUACACCCAUGUGCCUUCAUGAAAUAUUUCAUUAUGCUGGUGGAAGAAAUAUUCAAAUGAAUGUGCUUUUUCAGGGAUGGUGACACCAGAAUGUUUUAAAUCUGUUCAUUACCACAACAAGGAUAAAUGGCGUUUCUGCCAAAGACUUUUGAUAACGGGUGCAGUAAUGCAUGCCAGCACUUUCUGAAAUUAAAGGUUCUACCCUGAGAGGUUUCACAUGCUUACCCAGGAAUGCUCCUUGAAAAGAUAAUCUCCUCAGACAUAAGCCUGGCCACAGAAAAGUCUCUCUAAGGUCAGCAGUUUCUAGAGUGACGAAGUGAGAAUUCGAUUCUUAUCUGUUCACAGACUCUACAAAUCUCAAAACACCUUCCUGAAGAACACCCUGGGGGAAAAAUACAAAAAACCUCAUGGAUUUAGCCAUAGAUCAUAUAUAUUUUGAAUUGUCACUCUUUCACUCAACAAAUAAAUAUCUCCUAUGUGCCAAAUCAUGAGCUAGAGGUUGGAACAGCACAUUGCAUAGAGAACUUGGUCCCUAGCCUGAGGGAUUCAGAAUCUUGGGCACCAUCAUUUCUGUUUUCAUCAUUGUUGUCAUCAGUGUCUUUUGAGACAUUCUUAUUUUGAUCUCCUUUGAUUUUUAUAUAUUAUGAUUAUUUCC
rnacentral:lncRNA from 1 species